AUUGAACGCUGGCGGCAUGCCUUACACAUGCAAGUCGAACGGCAGCACGGGGCGACCCUGUGGCGAGUGGCGAACGGGUGAGUAAUGCAUCGGACGUGCCCAGUAGUGGGGGAGUAACUAGUCGAAGAUUAGCUAAUACCGCAUACGACCGUAUGGGUGGAAAGCGGGGGAGUUCGCAAGAACCUCGCGCUAUCGGAGCGGCCGA
rnacentral:rRNA from 1 species